rnacentral:lncRNA from 1 species
AUGGUAGUGAAAAUGAUGGCGACCGAUGCAGAGGAGAUAAGAAACCAAACAAGCCCCUGCCCUAUCCCCGACAACAGUCUCAGCACUCUGUCCAUCAAAAUCACGCGGAAAAACCAGGAUAGACACUGGAAGUUGCGGUCUAUUUACCUGCAGUGCUAUUUCUUGACCAUUGCAACAAUAUUGGGAACUGGAAUCUUAGGUCUUCCAGUGACGAUAGCCCAUGCUGGAUUGUUGCCUUUCCUCGUCUCGUUUCUCGUUGGCUUCUUUGUCCAGGCUUUGCUUAUCUACCUGUUUGUGGAACUUCUUCAGAAAUGUCAGGUGGUUCAGCUGGAAUCUCUGAAGACAGGUGUCGCCGAAUGUAUCUCGAUGGAUCAGGUGGGCGUGGAGGAUCCGGCACCCACAGAGGACGAGGAUGAGGACGAGGGUGAAAAUGCAGAGGCGGAUACCGGUUUACUACAGUCAGAUGGAGUAGCUUUGCACAACCAAGCUGAGUGCCUGCAGCCCAACCUUCAUCUGCUCGGCUACAUCUUCCUCUCCCGGCCCAUGAGCCACGCCUUUAACUGCAUCCUCCUCUUCCAGUUUAUUUCUAUUGGAAUCAGUUAUGUGUUAGCUGGCAGUGAGGCCUUUGCUGCUCUUCUUAAUGUCAGCCACAUCUACGUGAUCCCGGCCUUCACCUGGAUUCUAACUCUUGCAAUCUUACUGGCCCACACAAUCAUCCAACCAAUCACGUCUCUGCUUACCCUGCUGAAAGGACUUCUGCUCAUUGUCACGGUGGCUGUGACAUUUGCGGUGGGGUCUGAGGUUGGCCUUCAGAGCAGCAGUGACUUCAGUCAGAUGGGGAAACCUUUCCUAAUGGGAACAGUGGCUCUGGGGGGGAUAGUAAACGUGAUGCCUCUGCUCUUCUCGCAGAUCUCUCACAACAAAACACAGAUCCUGUGGUUUCGGAGAGCAGUGCUUGGAGGUCUGACAACCUGCACUGUGCUCAACAUCCUCUGGUGCUGGGCUGUGCUGGAAAUUGUCCCCCAGACGUCGUUACCAGAGAGGCGGACGGCAGGAGAGACUACAACCCAGCCCGACUCCAGCAGCCUGUCUGGUCCUCACUCCGCUGUCUCCCCUCUGCUGUACUCCAACAUCUCACUAGAGGAGUCUGAGAAAGCGGGCGAGAUUGCAACCAUUCCACUGACUAAGAUUAUUAAUGAACGUUACAGGGCGUACUCCUGGGUGGCUGAGCUGAUCCAGGUCUUCAUAGCCAUCAGCGUCACUGUGUCCUUCCUGGUGAUGGGAUCGGCCAUGAAACACACCAUUGAUGGCCUGGUGAACUCGCUGUGGAGCAGCCAACUGGAGUGGUUGUCUAAAGCCUGGGAGAGAAACCUGCCGAACAAACAUCACAUCUGCUCAGCGAGAAGCAUGGCUAAAGGAUUCAUGUCGCUUCUUGGGUUUACUGUCAUCUUUAUCGUGUCAGUGUGUGAUCCCAGGGGUUUCAUUGUCAUGUUGGACAAAGUUGUGUCGUUCUCCCUCAACACUGAAGUUGGACUGUUUGUCUUCAUCAUGCUGAGAGAAUCCAGAGAAGACAGAUUCCAACACCUUGCUGUCCCUCUGCCAGUAGGUGACUGUGUCUUCAGCCUCAGCUGGAUGCUCCCCACCUACUUCCUGUUUGCAGUUACGUACGACGUCCUGCAGACUCUGGCGGACGUGGCUCAUUACCUGCAUUUCUACAGCAACAGUGAGGAAGCACACAGCCACAAUCUGACUGGGAGUUUAACGGCAGCCAAUCUGUCCGUCCUGCUCUGAUCCUCAAUCAGCCAGAAAACAGACGGACCAGUAGGAGUUGGAAUUGCCAAAAAUCAGAUGCUUAGCAAGUGCUUUUAUAUUGUAUUCACACUUAUCAAGCUCUUGAUACAUUUUGAAAAUGUCAAACAUAGGCAUUAUUUGUUUUUGAUGGAAUGUUUUUGCACUCUUUUUUUCUUUGUUCACUUGCGGUGGCCUCGCUGCGCAUGCAAACUGUAAAAUGUUUUAGUUUUUCCAGUAGUCUGGAAACCACCACACAGCAGGGGCCAGAUGUAUGAACGAGGCAUACGCACAAAAAAACAUCAAGUGUCUCCACCUCAUGCAUAGUUCAGACCGAGUGUACCUUUAAGGUGUAGAUCAGUGGUUCCCACUAGGGGUCACCAAAGCUUCACAGGGUUGUGAUGCCUUCUUGAAAACUUUAAACAAAAACAAAUAUACACAUUAGGCCUGUAUCUCAGUAUAUUGUUCAUUUCUGUGAAGUAUUUUAUAGUUUAGAUUAUUAUUCAAGAAUAAAAUCAACAUAUAUUCACAGAGCCUCCGAUAAACAGCCUCCUGCUGCAUCUGUAAAAUACACAGUAUGAACAUGUGUCAAAGGAAGAAGCCUAUUAGGGAG